GGCAGUGUAGCUCAGUGGUAGAGCAUGUGCUUAGCAUGCACGAGGUCCUGGAUUUAAUCCCCAACACCUCCA
rnacentral:tRNA from 1 species